CACCAGGGAUUGCCCUAGUAACGGCGAGUGAAGCGGCAACAGCUCAAAUUUGAAAUCUGGCUCCUUUGGGGUCCGAGUUGUAAUUUGCAGAGGGUGCUUUGGUGUUGGCUGUGGUCCAAGUUCCCUGGAACAGGACGUCGCAGAGGGUGAGAACCCCGUACGUGGCCGCCAGCCUUCGCCGUGUAAAGCCCCUUCGAAGAGUCGAGUUGUUUGGGAAUGCAGCUCUAAAUGGGAGGUAAAUUCCUUCUAAAGCUAAAUAUUGGCCAGAGACCGAUAGCGCACAAGUAGAGUGAUCGAAAGAUGAAAAGCACUUUGGAAAGAGAGUGAAAAAGCACGUGAAAUUGUUGAAAGGGAAGCGCUUGGAGCCAGACGUGCCCGUAGUUGCUCAGCCGGGGUCCUCCCCGGUGCACUCUUCUGCGGGCAGGCCAGCAUCAGUUUGGGCGGUUGGACAAAGGCCUGCUAAAUGUACCUUCCCCCGGGAAGGACUUAUAGGGUAGGUGGCAUACAACCAGCCCGGACUGAGGACCGCGCAUCUGCUAGGAUGCUGGCGUAAUGGCUGUAAGCGGCCCGUCUUGAAACACGGACCAAGGAGUCUAAAAUCUAUGCGAGUGUUUGGGUGUCAAGCCCGAGCGCGCAAUGAAAGUGAACGUAGGUGGGAACCCCUCGGGGUGCACCAUCGACCGAUCCUGAUGUCUUCGGAAGGAUUUGAGUAUGAGCAUAGCUUUUGGGACCCGAAAGAUGGUGAACUAUGCCUGAAUAGGGUGAAGCCAGAGGAAACUCUGGUGGAGGCUCGCAGCGGUUCUGACGUGCAAAUCGAUCGUCAAAUUUGGGCAUAGGGGCGAAAGACUAAUCGAAC
rnacentral:rRNA from 1 species